UCUCCACGCUUGCCGUAACAUGCGGAGGAUGUAUGGAUGUGCUGUAAGUUAGGCCUGCCAAGGAAUGAAGGUGUUGGUUUGGUGGGAGUAAAGUAAAGGUCAAGUGUGCUGUCGAAUCGGUGUCGACUCGUGGCGCCCACAGAGCCCUGUGGUUUUCUUUUGGUAGAAUACAGGAGGGGUUGACCAUUGCCUCCUCCCGCGCAGUAUGAGAUGGUGAUGCCUUUCAGCCUCUUCCUAUAUCGCUGCUGCCUAAUAUAGGUGUUUCUGACAGUCUGGGAAACAUACUAGGGAGGAUUCGAACCGGCAACCUCUGGCCUGCUAGGCAAGUCAUUUCCCCGCUGUGCCAUUAGGUGGCUAGUCAUAAUAGCACAAGAGUUGCUUUUUGGAGUUCUUGGAUCCAACCUUCUCCUCCUCUGCCCCCUUCUUCCUUCUCCUCCAUCAUCAAAAUUUAUAUGCCGCUUCUGAAAAAAAGCUACAAAGCGGUUUACAUCGAGCAAUAAAUGAGAUGGUUCUCUGCCCCCAAAGGGCCCACAAUCUCUCAAGAAACACAAGACAGACUCCUGCAGCCGCCACGAGAGAGAUGCUGUGCUGGGGUUGGAUAGGGCCAGUCGCUUCCCCCAUGAAAAAAAAUGUAAGGGAGAGAAACAAGACAAGAAAAAGAAAACGUGGGAAACAUAAAGAAGAUACUGGUUGUCCCUGAAUUGACCUCAGAGGAGGAGGACUCCGAAUGUAAGCCGACCCCGAAUUUCUAACAUCAAAGAACUUGGGGAAACAAAUAGCCUUGGAGUCAGUUUUUCCUAGGCGGAUGGAGCACUUUGGAGAGUUCUCUACCAAAGAAAGUGUUCCAGGUUCGUCCGUCCACCUCCCCUUCCCUCUCAGCUUUCUGGUGGUCUCUCCGCUGGCUGCACCACUGGAGCACUUCAUGGGGAAGCGGUGGAUAGAUUUCUGCACACUUGCAGAUAUCUGGAGCAUUAUUAUUUAUACGGCACACUCAGUAUAUUCGGCACAGUACAGAGCAACAAUUAAAAGGUCAGAUCCAUGCUCCCAAGGAGCUUACAAUUUAGACCAGGGGGAGGGUGGGCAAUCCAACAUCGCAAGGAGAGAAGGGGAAAGAAAGAAAGUGUACCAGAACAGCACAGAGAGAGUAAUGGGAAAGGCCCAAGGUCUAUUUCCCCAUUCCCACACACACGUUAUUGGUAAACAAGGGAGCUAUGAAGCCUACAGAAUUACAGUGUGACCUCUCUCCAUAGUGCCGUGUGAAAUAUGAAAUAGGAGUUUUAAUUACAAAACUUGGAGUGCAUUGUAUUUGCUUAAUAUUUAAUGCGACUCUGCAAUUUGCAUCUUGAAUACCGCUGUGCAAAAGGCUUCGGCUGGUGACCUGGUUCUCGGCAAGUUCUUUCCAGGCUGGGAUGAGCCGUUCCUGGAGGAAGACGGGGAUAUGCCGAUUAAGUCAAAAGCGGGCCUCGGAAGACCUCCGCACCGUGGAUUCUCCACUGGAAAGGGCCGUAAAAAUUCGUGUGUGCUCUCCAGCUCGGUGGUUUCUGUCAGGAAAGGCGGUUCUUUGCUCCGUCCUUGUUCUGAACUGGGUUCCCGACACAUAUGGCAAGUUGAACUAAG